CAGCCGCCACGGUAAUACGUAGGGUGCGAGCGUUAAUCGGAAUUACUGGGCGUAAAGCGUGCGCAGGCGGUUCGUUAAGACAGAUGUGAAAUCCCCGGGCUUAACCUGGGAACUGCAUUUGUGACUGGCGAGCUAGAGUAUGGCAGAGGGGGGUAGAAUUCCACGUGUAGCAGUGAAAUGCGUAGAGAUGUGGAGGAAUACCGAUGGCGAAGGCAGCCCCCUGGGCCAAUACUGACGCUCAUGCACGAAAGCGUGGGGAGCAAACAGGAUUAGAUACCCGAGUAGUCCCUGUCUCUUAUAC
rnacentral:rRNA from 1 species